rnacentral:piRNA from 1 species
GGCUUGAUCAGUGCAGUCCAGCAGUUGUU